GGGCCGGCAUAGCUCAGUUGGUAGAGCAGCGGUUUUGUAAACCGUUGGUCGUGGGUUCAAAUCCUGGCGGGCGCGCCA
rnacentral:tRNA from 1 species